CCGGCGCACGGGUGAGUAACACGUAUCCAACCUGCCGUCUACUCUUGGACAGCCUUCUGAAAGGAAGAUUAAUACAAGAUGGCAUCAUGAGUCCGCAUGUUCACAUGAUUAAAGGUAUUCCGGUAGACGAUGGGGAUGCGUUCCAUUAGAUAGUAGGCGGGGUAACGGCCCACCAAACCUUCGAUGGAUAGGGGUUCUGAGAGGAAGGUCCCCCACAUUGGAACUGAGACACGGUCCAA
rnacentral:rRNA from 1 species